rnacentral:rRNA from 1 species
GGGGGGGGCUUUACAUGCAGUCGAACGAUGAAGACCGUGCUUGCACGGUUGGAUUAGUGGCGAACGGGUGAGUAUCACGUGAGUAACCUUCCCUUGACUCUGGGAUAAGCCCGGGAAACUGGGUCUAAUACCGGAUACGACCAGUCCUCGCAUGGGGUGCUGGUGGAAAGAUUUAUCGGUCUUGGAUGGACUCGCGGCCUAUCAGCUUGUUGGUGAGGUAAUGGCUCACCAAGGCGAUGACGGGUAGCCGGCCUGAGAGGGUGACCGGCCACACUGGGACUGAGACACGGCCCAGACUCCUACGGGAGGCAGCAGUGGGGAAUAUUGCACAAUGGGCGAAAGCCUGAUGCAGCGACGCCGCGUGCGGGAUGACGGCCUUCGGGUUGUAAACCGCUUUCAGCAGGGAAGAAGCGAAAGUGACGGUACCUGCAGAAGAAGCGCCGGCUAACUACGUGCCAGCAGCCGCGGUAAUACGUAGGGCGCGAGCGUUAUCCGGAAUUAUUGGGCGUAAAGAGCUCGUAGGCGGUUUGUCACGUCUGCUGUGAAAGCCCGAGGCUCAACCUCGGGUGUGCAGUGGGUACGGGCAGACUAGAGUGCAGUAGGGGAGACUGGAAUUCCUGGUGUAGCGGUGAAAUGCGCAGAUAUCAGGAGGAACACCGAUGGCGAAGGCAGGUCUCUGGGCUGUUACUGACGCUGAGGAGCGAAAGCAUGGGGAGCGAACAGGAUUAGAUACCCUGGUAGUCCAUGCCGUAAACGUUGGGCACUAGGUGUGGGGAACAUUCCACGUUUUCCGCGCCGUAGCUAACGCAUUAAGUGCCCCGCCUGGGGAGUACGGCCGCAAGGCUAAAACUCAAAGGAAUUGACGGGGGCCCGCACAAGCGGCGGAGCAUGCGGAUUAAUUCGAUGCAACGCGAAGAACCUUACCAAGGCUUGACAUGGACCGGAUCGCUGCAGAGAUGCAGUUUCCCUUCGGGGUCGGUUCACAGGUGGUGCAUGGUUGUCGUCAGCUCGUGUCGUGAGAUGUUGGGUUAAGUCCCGCAACGAGCGCAACCCCUAUCCUAUGUUGCCAGCACGUUAUGGUGGGGACUCAUGGGAGACUGCCGGGGUCAACUCGGAGGAAGGUGGGGACGACGUCAAAUCAUCAUGCCCCUUAUGUCUUGGGCUUCACGCAUGCUACAAUGGCCGGUACAAUGGGUUGCGAUACUGUGAGGUGGAGCUAAUCCCUAAAAGCCGGUCUCAGUUCGGAUCGAAGUCUGCAACUCGACUUCGUGAAGUUGGAGUCGCUAGUAAUCGCAGAUCAGCAACGCUGCGGUGAAUACGUUCCCGGGCCUUGUACACACCGCCCGUCAAGUCACGAAAGUGGGUAACACCCGAAGCCGGUGGCCUAACCCUUGUGGGGGGAGCCGUCGAAGGUGGGACUCGCGAUUGGGACUAAGACGUAGCUUCCGUGCCCGAAA